UACAGAGACUGCAAGCGUUAUUCGGAUUCACUGGGCGUAAAGGGUGCGCAGGCGGUUGGGUGUGUCAGAUGUGAAAUCCCGAGGCUUAACCUCGGAACUGCGUCUGAAACUACUCGACUAGAGUACUGGAGGAGGGAACGGAAUUCACGGUGUAGCAGUGAAAUGCGUAGAUAUCGUGAGGAACACCAGAGGCGAAGGCGGUUCCUGGACAGUUACUGACGCUCAGGCACGAAAGCAUGGGGAGCAAAAGGG
rnacentral:rRNA from 1 species